CAGCCGCCGCGGUAAUACGAAGGGUGCAAGCGUUAAUCGGAAUUACUGGGCGUAAAGCGUACGUAGGCGGCGAUCAAAGUCAGGCGUGAAAUUCCUGGGCUCAACCUGGGGGCUGCGCUUGAUACUUGGUUGCUUGAGUGGGGAAGAGGGUCGUGGAAUUCCCAGUGUAGAGGUGAAAUUCGUAGAUAUUGGGAAGAACACCGGUGGCGAAGGCGGCGACCUGGUUCAUGACUGACGCUGAGGCGCGAAAGCGUGGGGAGCAAACAGGAUUAGAUACCCCUGUAGUCCCUGUCUCUUAUAC
rnacentral:rRNA from 1 species